GAUGAAGGCUAGCGGCAGGCUUAACACAUGCAAGUCGAGGGGUAGUCUAGCAAUAGAUGAGACCGGCGCACGGGUGCGUAACGCGUAUGCAACCUACCUUUUACAGAGGGAUAGCCCAGAGAAAUUUGGAUUAAUACCUCAUAGUAUAUAACCUUCGCAUGUUGGUUAUAUUAAAGUUCCAACGGUAAAAGAUGGGCAUGCGUCCUAUUAGCUAGAUGGUAAGGUAACGGCUUACCAUGGCUACGAUAGGUAGGGGUCCUGAGAGGGAGAUCCCCCACACUGGUACUGAGACACGGACCAGACUCCUACGGGAGGCAGCAGUGAGGAAUAUUGGACAAUGGGCGCAAGCCUGAUCCAGCCAUGCCGCGUGCAGGAAGAAGCAUCUAUGGUGUGUAAACUGCUUUUGUACGGGAAGAAACACCCCUUCGUGAAGGGACUUGACGGUACCGUAAGAAUAAGGAUCGGCUAACUCCGUGCCAGCCGCCGCGGUAAAAC
rnacentral:rRNA from 1 species